rnacentral:lncRNA from 1 species
GUUUCUUUUUAAUUGGAAUUUAUAAUUGCUCCUAAUUAUAGGACAUACUUUAAAUGUUACUUUGAGAGGCUGAGGGAGGGGGUGGAGCCCUGUCCACUCUAGCCUCAUGAGCUAUAACCUUGACAUUUUAAUUAGAUAUUAUUUUGAAAUAUGUAAAAGGGAUUUACAUACUCAGUGAAACAUAUCAUUGACUGUGCAAUUUGCCCGAGAAGACAAAAUGAUACACAGUUUUAAAAAUAA